rnacentral:sRNA from 1 species
GUCGUGAGAUGUUGGGUUAAGUCCCGCAACGAGCGCAACCCUUGUCCUAUGUUGCCAGCGGGUAAUGCCGGGGACUCGUAGGAGACUGCCGGGGUCAACUCGGAGGAAGGUGGGGACGACGUCAAGUCAUCAUGCCCCUUAUAUCCAGGGCUGCAAACAUGCUACAAUGGCCGGUACAAAGGGCUGCUAUACCGCGAGGUUGAGCGAAUCCCAGAAAGCCGGUCUCAGUUCGGAUUGGAGUCUGCAACUCGACUCCAUGAAGUCGGAGUCGCUAGUAAUCCCGGAUCAGCAAUGCCGGGGUGAAUACGUUCCCGGGCCUUGUACACACUGCCCGUCACACCACGAAAGUCGGUAACACCCGAAGCCAGUGGCCCAACCGCAAGGGGGGAGCUGUCGAAGGUGGGAUCGGCGAUUGGGGUGAAGUCGUAACAAGGUAGCCGUACCGGAAGGUGCGGCUGGAUCACCUCCUUUCUAAGGAGUCGAUGCUCUCGUAAGAGGGUGACUCCCAGUUGAUGCACUAGCUGUCCUCUAUUCCGUUUUCUGGGCGCGUUGCGUCCUGCUACGUGCCAAGGCGACGCCGGCCCUCGAGGCCGGCAUCCUUGCGUUUAGCCCCUUGAGAAUUGCAUAGCGAGCACGAGCAUCUUUGUUUCUUCCAAGCUACAAAGAGCCAACGGUGGAUGCCUUGGCGUCUACUACCGAUGAAGGACGUAGGUGGCUGCGAUAAGCCACGGGGAGCUGCCGACCAAGCUUUGAUCCGUGGAUGU